UCGAGCGCCUCGCAAGAGGAGCGGCAGACGGGUGAGUAACGCGUGGGAAUCUACCGUACCCUACGGAAUAGCUCCGGGAAACUGGAAUUAAUACCGUAUACGCCCUUUGGGGGAAAGAUUUAUCGGGGUAUGAUGAGCCCGCGUUGGAUUAGCUAGUUGGUGGGGUAAAGGCCUACCAAGGCGACGAUCCAUAGCUGGUCUGAGAGGAUGAUCAGCCACAUUGGGACUGAGACACGGCCCAAACUCCUACGGGAGGCAGCAGUGGGGAAUAUUGGACAAUGGGCGCAAGCCUGAUCCAGCCAUGCCGCGUGAGUGAUGAAGGCCCUAGGGUUGUAAAGCUCUUUCACCGGUGAAGAUAAUGACGGUAACCGGAGAAGAAGCCCCGGCUAACUUCGUGCCAGCAGCCGCG
rnacentral:rRNA from 1 species